AUCAGAUUUAUUUGGAGAAAACAGAAAUCCCACAACCCAAAGGAUGGGAUUUUACAUCAAGACAUCUCCCAGCUCUAUAAAUGGACUGCAGUACAGCUGACCUUGGACAGGCUUAUUUGGGCCUAACUGGGUUCUAAGCUUUCUGCUGGGUUCAGCUCUUUGUACUUCAGGCAACAACACCUGAGAGGAUUUUUCUGGCAGGCGAAAAAAUGUUUGCAAUGACUUUGAUGAUACGGUGACUGAGGUGUAUUUAUCCUUAGGUGCAUAAGCAAUGGCACACAACCAAAGACUGGCUGCUACCUUCACAUUCCUUCUAAAGGGGCUAAAAGGAAGAAGUAUGGAAAAAUGUAUCCACUCAAGUAGAAAUUUUAUAUUGAGUGUGCAGUUUUGAUUUUGAAUGUCUGAUUUUG
rnacentral:lncRNA from 1 species